UUAUAUGGUCAAGAAGAGAAGCGCAAACGGUGGAUGCCUUGGCAGUAAGAGGCGAAGAAGGACGUGGAAUCCUGCGAAAAGCUAUGGGGAGCUGGAAACGAGCGUUGAGCCAUAGAUGUCCGAAUGGGGGAACCCGGCUGCAGCGAUGCGGUCAUUUGCAUUUGAAUACAUAGGAUGCAAAGGCGAACUCGGGGAACUGAAACAUCUAAGUACCCGAAGGAAAAGAAAUCAAGAGAGAUUCUCCAAGUAGCGGCGAGCGAACGGGGAGGAGCCUGGCGUGAUUUAUUAUUGAACUGAGUAGAACAAUUUGGGAAAGUUGGCCGAAGAGGGUGAAAGCCCCGUAUACGAAGGUUUGAUGAGGAACUAGGCACGCGA
rnacentral:rRNA from 1 species